AACCUCCCAGGAUCUCGUCUGGAGGAUGAUUAAUAUUCUUCCAGCUUCAGAGAUGGGAGUGAAAACAAACCAGGCAGAGGUACCCAUUCCAUUCCCCUCUUGCUCCGUAGUUGGUGAUUGGAAGACACUCUACAACAAUG